rnacentral:tRNA from 1 species
AGUAGUUAAGAGCUUGGCUGCUAACCAAAGGGUUGGUGGUUCAAAUCCACCAGCUGCUC